rnacentral:rRNA from 1 species
UACGUAGGGUGCAAGCGUUGUCCGGGAUUAUUGGGCGUAAAGAGCUCGUAGGCGGUCUGUCGCGUCUGCUGUGAAAAUCCAGGGCUCAACCCUGGACCUGCAGUGGGUACGGGCAGACUAGAGUGCGGUAGGGGAGAUCGGAAUUCCUGGUGUAGCGGUGAAAUGCGCAGAUAUCAGGAGGAACACCGGUGGCGAAGGCGGAUCUCUGGGCCGUAACUGACGCUGAGGAGCGAAAGCAUGGGGAGCGAACAGG